rnacentral:lncRNA from 1 species
UGUACAAAUCAUCCCUUCAAGGGCUGCGCCUGGAUGAACCUUGGUUUGCUGGCUGAAUGGGGCUGGAUUUCCCUUUUGCUUCCUCUUUGCCCAUGCCUCGGGGUGGCCUUCUUUCGGAAGAGGGCUGCCUGCGCUGCUUGGCUCAAACUUUUGGUACAUUGAAGUGGACCGAGGACCCCACAGGUUUUCACCUGACUCGGAACAGGACAGCUUUUGCUGAGCCUCAGGGGUGGCUCCUCCUGAUGGCUGUAUUAGGCUAUGCCUCUGGGUACCCGUUGCCAUGGGAACCUCAGUGGGAGAAAGAUCCUGCACUCCUCUCCGGCUUGUCAGCUUCCUGUGAGCAUCUGAGAGGCUUCCUUUUCCCAUACGAACCCCCUGUAUUUGAUGGAUGGGCCUUUCUCUCACCGUAUUCCAGCCUAGAGAGACUCCUGGGGUUGCCCUCGGAAUUGGGGCCUUCUCUGGCGCAGCACCCACCAUGCAAAACAGUCUUGCCAACCCGCCUUCAGGACUUGGUCCUUCAAACAUGCAAGUCUGCGAUGCUACUGGGUCACAGCACCAUUUGGCUACGGGGCACGUGAGUAAACCCAUGUCCUUGGCCCCAACGUGGCACUACACCUGAGCAGGGACAUGUCUGCCUGAGACUCGAGCGUUGAAUAUUUCUGUCAGAGGAAGAUCUCUCCAUUUCCCUAGGCAUUUUUUCUGAUAUGUUUCCCUUUCCCUUCCUUAAUUAUCCAUGGUUUUAAACAGAGCUUCUUGUUUUUAAUUAGUUUGGUCUGUUCAGUUACACGUUUUGUCGGGUGUUGUUGUUUUUUUAAAACUCAACCCCCUAAACAAGACUUCAAAGUGGAAAACAUUGCAGAAGCGGUCUGAGGAUGAACACAGCCAGAUCAGUCUCUGUGGAAACAGGAUGCGUGGCUACCUGAGCGUGUGGUCCGACCCAGCUUUGAGGGGUGUGUGUCUUAGGUUCUUCUCUGUGAGGCCAUCAAAGAAUUUGUGGACUACACUCUUCAGCCGAUCUGUAGCCACUCGGGAGAGAUGCAGGAGGCCAAUUCUGGACUCCCAUCCCAUCCCCAACCCACUACGAAAUGUUCCAGGCUGUAUAAUGUUCAUCGCAUCCCAGCUUGGUAUGCGUCAGAAUGACUUCCUCCUGCUUCAACACAUCCACCGCCCCCACCACCCCUCAUUUUUAUUUCCCACCUCUCUGGUUUAUCAAGAUCACCUCGUGCUUUGAGGUGGCCCCCUGAACUUAAAGUGGGCAGAGGACAUGGGAUUCUAUUAAAUCUCCCUCCGACAUUCACCCGGCGAGGAGUAACAGGCCGGCACCCGUACUGUCGUUCCUACCCUGUCUCUGGAAGCAAUUCAAGGGGGUGGCAGGUCAGGGGAGGCUGACGGCAGGAGUAGCAUGACAGAGACGUUACCUGCUUC